rnacentral:rRNA from 1 species
UACGGGGGGGGGCAAGCGUUGUUCGGAAUUACUGGGCGUAAAGGGCUCGUAGGCGGCCAACUAAGUCGGAUGUGAAAUCCCCAGGCUUAACCUGGGAACUGCAUCCGAUACUGGAUGGCUUGAAUCCGGGAGAGGGAUGCAGAAUUCCAGGUGUAGCGGUGAAAUGCGUAGAUAUCUGGAGGAAUACCGGUGGCGAAGGCGGCAUCCUGGACCGGCAUUGACGCUGAUGAGCGAAAAGCUAGGGGAGCAAACGGG